AACAGCAAGUGACAAGACUGAGGCAGGCAGAGUGGCCGAGCGGGGUAGAGGGGCUGGAGACAGCAGUCAUGUGGAUGUUUUGGCACACAGGGGUCUGAAGGAGCCUGAUUGUUGAAGCAAAACUUCCCGUUUACCUACUGAUUGGAGGGUUUUUGAGCAUCUGGAAGCCAGAACAAAAAUGCUUCUUUCCAUCCUAGACCAUCCAUCCUCCCGCUGACCUUCCAGAUGACUGCAGGUGCAUGAGCACGCCCAGCAGGGAUCAGCUGAGCAAAAUCACCUCGCCGAAUCAUAGGCUUUUAAUAUCUGUAAGAUUUGUAAAGAUCUCUCCUUUGUUCACUCCUGGUAUUG
rnacentral:lncRNA from 1 species